GAUUCAGAGCACCUGGGAAGGACUGGGGGAAGCUCACUCAUUCAGUCAAACAAUCUUCAGAGGAGAAAGACAUGAGGAAAGAACAAAGGAGAUCCAAGUCCACUCAUGGAUUCAGUCCAAAGACGCCAAUGGUUUACAACCUAUUGAAAUAUCCUGACCGACCAACUAAAAGCACCAGGAGCAGGAGAGGACCACAGGAGCUGGGCUGCAGGGAGGGUACACAGAUCUGAAGAUGUUCCUCGGGGCAGCAGAGGGCAAGUGGUCAGCAUGCUCGAGGUCUGCAAAUCUGCCUCUCUGCAGCCUCAAUCUUGACUUCUAACAAGAGCCAGGCCAUUUCAGACCACUUCACUAUGCACUCACUGCUCCAUUUUUGAUUCAUCUGUCCAGACCCGAAAGUCAAGCUGCAAACUGCUCUCUAUGUUAAUGGGUUAAAAUAAAAUGCAUGUUUUUAUUAAACGAUGGUCUGCCAUUCUGAACCCUCUUCAUUUAUUACAUGAAUGUGCAAUUUUUGAUACUUUCCUGUACAGUAAAU